UACAGCGGGGGCAAGCGUUGUUCGGAAUUACUGGGCGUAAAGGGCUCGUAGGCGGUUUGUCGCGUCGGGAGUGAAAUCCACUGGCUUAACUGGUGGCUUGCUUUCGAUACGGGCAGACUGGAGGUAUGCAGGGGAGAACGGAAUUCCUGGUGAAGCGGUGAAAUGCGCAGAUAUCAGGAGGAACACCGGUGGCGAAGGCGGUUCUCUGGGCAUGUCCUGACGCUGAGGAGCGAAAGUGUGGGGAGCGAACAGG
rnacentral:rRNA from 1 species